rnacentral:rRNA from 1 species
UGUGGGGAACCUGCCCCAUAGUCUGGGAUACCACUUGGAAACAGGUGCUAAUACCGGAUAAGAAAGCGGAUCGCAUGAUCAGCUUUUAAAAGGCGGCGUAAGCUGUCGCUAUGGGAUGGCCCCGCGGUGCAUUAGCUAGUUGGUAAGGUAAAGGCUUACCAAGGCGAUGAUGCAUAGCCGAGUUGAGAGACUGAUCGGCCACAUUGGGACUGAGACACGGCCCAAACUCCUACGGGAGGCAGCAGAC